UUCUUCUCAUUUUACAUAAUUCUAAUAUUUAAUAUUAAUUUAUAAAACCUAACCCGCCGCUCAUCUCUUUUCAAUUCUCCGCUAUUCUUUUUUCUAGGUUUUCACCAUGGAAAACCUUAUUCUGAGAUUCAAUUAUUUUGCCUAGGGUUUCGUGGAAAAGGGUAAAGGGAUCCAAACGACCACCGCUGAAUUCUACAGAAGCAACCAUUCAACGUAUACAAUCUCUCCUCAGCAAGUAACAAGUCGCUCAAACAAUUAUCAAAUCGACAUCGUGGUACAGGGUCUGAUCAACUCACACCAACCUCGCACUCGACGAACGCGAUUUUUGAUCCGCACACAGUUUCUUGGCUUUCGCAACGAAGGCAGUGGAGAGGUACGAGAAAUCGAAUCUGAAGAUCGAGAAUUUCAGGUUGUAUCUCGAUAUCUCAUUAAUUUUUUGAAAUUAUGUUAAUAUGAAUACACCUGCUUUUUCUCCUCCAUUGUUAUGUGGUUGUAAGCAUAUAGCCGAUUGAACCUUUCAAAAUACAGAGUGAUUUUCACACAAUGCCGGAUUUCAAAAUUACUUUGAAGUUAGGGGUAUAAUUGUGCAUAUACGCAAUAAAGUACAGUGGUUUUCAACAAAAUACAGAGUGGUUUUCGUCUCAACAAAAUAUAGAUAAGCAUGAAGUUCUUCUCAACAAAAUACAGAGUGGUUUUCGUAUUUUUCUAAUACAAUUCUGCAAAUAUUGUGUGGUUUCUGAAUGUUUGUGGUUUCUGGGUGUUAUUUACAGGAUAAAAAAAUGUAUGUGUUUUUUAAUAAUGUGGUUUUGAUUAUGCAAUAAUGCUAACUAUUUUUUUUAGGUUUUUAGUUAUAACAAACACCACUUAAUUGUAAAACACCUAAUGAGAAUUGUAUAACUGAUUUGCGCCUUGUAGGACUCAAUCUUCAGGAGAGGUGAUGGGAUGUUCGAUCCACCUGCCGACAUGUGCAAUUAUGAUAUUCUUUUCAUACAUAGUGGAUUUUAUGGUGACAGAGUUGUUAUACAGAGUGGUUUUCAAGUUACAUAGUUGUUAUACAGAAUGGUUAAAAUGUUAUAUAGUUGUUAUACAGAGUGGUUUUCAUGUUUAUAUAGCUGUUAAUACAGAGUGGUUUUCAUGUUUAUAUAGAAUGGUUUUUAUAUAAAUUUAUAGUGGUUUUCAACAAUUUUAUAAAUUUAUAGUGGUUUUCAACAAUUUUAUAAAUUUAUAGUGGUUUUCAACAAUUUUAUAGUGAUUUUCAAUAAUUUUUGUACAGAUUUUUAUUUAACUGUAUAUACAGAGUGGUUUUUAAGUUGACAUAGUUAUUAUAAAGAGUGGUUUUCAAGUUUACAUAGUUGUUAUACAGAGU
rnacentral:lncRNA from 1 species